rnacentral:rRNA from 1 species
CUUGCCUACGGGGGGCAGCAGUGGGGAAUAUUGCACAAUGGGGGAAACCCUGAUGCAGCAACGCCGCGUGAGUGAAGAAGUAUUUCGGUAUGUAAAGCUCUAUCAGCAGGGAAGAAGAUGACGGUACCUGAGUAAGAAGCCCCGGCUAACUACGUGCCAGCAGCCGCGGUAAUACGUAGGGGGCAAGCGUUAUCCGGAUUUACUGGGUGUAAAGGGAGCGUAGACGGCAGGGCAAGUCUGGAGUGAAAGACCGGGGCGCAACCCAGGGACUGCGUUGGAAACUGCCAUGCUGGA